rnacentral:lncRNA from 1 species
UACCCCGAAGGAAACAACAUAGGAGUUGGAAAGUGAGAUGAAGGAGAAAUAUCUGCACCUGUUCGAGAUAAAUUUGGGGACCAAAUUUUUCUAAGGUCGGGGGGAUGUAACACCGUGUCCAUCACUGUGUUUAAUUAAUUUGGAAAAUCUUAUUUAUUCAGGCCCUUAGGCCACAUUGAACUCAUUUAAUUUACCCAAAAAUUAUUAUCGUAAUUCGUGAAUUAUGCCAAUUUUUAUUUAUUU